rnacentral:rRNA from 1 species
AGUGAACGCUGGCGGUAGGCCUAACACAUGCAAGUCGAACGGCAGCACAGUAAGAGCUUGCUCUUACGGGUGGCGAGUGGCGGACGGGUGAGGAAUACAUCGGAAUCUACUUUUUCGUGGGUGAUAACGUAGGGAAACUUACGCCAAUACCGCAUACGACCUACGGGUGAAAGCAGGGGAUCUUCGGACCUUGCGCGAUUGAAUGAGCCGAUGUCGGAUUAGCUAGUUGGCGGGGUAAAGGCCCACCAAGGCGACGAUCCGUAGCUGGUCUGAGAGGAUGAUCAGCCACACUGGAACUGAGACACGGUCCAGACUCCUACGGGAGGCAGCAGUGGGGAAUAUUGGACAAUGGGCGAAAGCCUGAUCCAGCCAUACCGCGUGGGUGAAGAAGGUCUUCGGGUUGUAAAGCCCUUUUGUUGGGAAAGAAAAGCAGCAGGUUAAUACCUCGCUGUUCUGACGGUACCAAAAGAAUAAGCACGGGCUAACUUCGUG